rnacentral:rRNA from 1 species
UACAGGGGGGGGCAAGCGUUGUUCGGAAUUACUGGGCGUAAAGGGCUCGUAGGCGGCCAACUAAGUCACACGUUGAAAUCCCCAGCUUAACCUGGGAACUGCGUGUGAUACUGGAUGGCUUGAAUCCGGGAGAGGGAUGCAGAAUUCCAGGUGUAGCGGUGAAAUGCGUAGAUAUCUGGAGGAAUACCGGUGGCGAAGGCGGCAUCCUGGACCGGCAUUGACGCUGAUGAGCGAAAGCUAGGGGAGCAAACGGG